rnacentral:rRNA from 1 species
UAAUACGAAGGGUGCAAGCGUUACUCGGAAUUACUGGGCGUAAAGCGUGCGUAGGCGGUUUGUUAAGUCCGCUGUGAAAGCCCUGGGCUCAACCUGGGAAUUGCAGUGGAUACUGGCAAGCUAGAGUGCGGUAGAGGAUGGUGGAAUUCCCGGUGUAGCGGUGAAAUGCGUAGAGAUCGGGAGGAACACCCGUGGCGAAGGCGGCCAUCUGGACCAGCACUGACGCUGAGGCACGAAAGCGUGGGGAGCAAACAGGAUUAGAUACCCUGGUAGUCCACGCCCUAAACGAUGCGAACUGGACGUUGGGUGGACUUAGCCACUCAGUGUCGAAGCUAACGCGUUAAGUUCGCCGCCUGGGGAGUACGGUCGCAAGACUG